GAUGAAGAACGUAGCGAAAUGCGAUAAGUAAUGUGAAUUGCAGAAUUCAGUGAAUCAUCGAGUUUUUGAACGCAUAUUGCGCCCUCCGGUAUUCCGGGGGGCAUGCCUGUUCGAGCGUCAUUAAAUAACCCUCAAGCAUAGCUUGGUGUUGGGCUUUUUUACGUCCUUGACUGGGAUGGGCCUAAAAAUUAGUGGCGAUGGCUUUUUUACUUUCAAGCGUAGUAAAUCUCGUCUUGCUAAAGAGGAAAAAGAUUUUUUUUCUGCCAAAAAUUUUAACAUUUAAAGUUGACCUCGGAUCAGGUAGGAUUACCCGCUGAACUUAAGCAUAUCAAUAAGCGGAGGA
rnacentral:misc_RNA from 1 species